rnacentral:lncRNA from 1 species
AACCAGUACCCUCAGGAUGUGCGAUAAUCAUGCUAGGAUUUCAUCGAUGGUACAUUGCCAGACGCAGACCACCCAGUACCGAGUUGAGACAAGAUAUGUUGAGUAGGUUGUCGGGAGGUAAGUCACCGUGAGGUGUGUGGCGGAUGCAUAACGGGAAACCCUACAACGCCAGGCAACGUGCGCGCCGACACAGUGCUUCUGCAACGUGUCGCUUUCCUCAGGCGCUUUCUUCAAUGAGGACGGGUUUUGCAUUUUUGUAGCACUCCAGCGUGUUUCCAAGUGAUCUUGCGCGGUUGCGUGACUGAUUUGAUGCUUUGAUUGAUUGAAAUCAAUACUGGCACCGAAAGACCUUUGAGUAAAGUGAAGAUCGGAGGUAGUGAUACGGCGCAUCUGUCACGCCAGUUGUGCAUGUUUGUGCUGUUUCUUUGUCAUUCAGGGGUUGAUCCACCGGAUGAUGCAGCUCUCGACGCACGCGUCUACCGCGGCACUUCAAUUAUAUUUCGGAAUCGAUUUUUUUUCGCUGGCGACAGACUGCUUCUUUUUUCCAGGUUCAUUCCUUUACGGACGAACGCGACCGGAGGAAGGAACAGUAUAUCAGUGGCAUCGGAGUAACCGGUGUCGACGCUCGAGCAAAAUACCACACAAACGAAACGGAUGCGUACCAUCAGAAACAGGUGGACGGCGCGCCGGUUGUGCAAGCAACCGUGUAGGAACAGUGACCGUAGGCAUUUGCAUUGUCACCUAAAUCAAGAAAGGCUCGUAAAACUGGGAUCCGGUAAACAGAGACCUUCGUGAUCUAAACCCGUCGUCCACCCCGUCUACCAUCUCCCCAGGAAAGGCUUAUGAAUUGUCCUUUUUCUCAGGGAUAACGGUACUAAUCGUGCGAAUAUAUGGUUAGUCGCUUUUUCCUGCUGUCGUUCGCUGUAGGGCACUGCGUCGUUCGUGAUUUCCGAUGAGCAUCACGAGGUUUUACAGACGUCGUACCCGUGUACAUUUAUACAGCGAGCAAUUCAGGGACAUCCCCCCGCGAACGAGUGCUCUUGUUUCAGACUAACAGGUGCGUAUGAUGUGACGCUACAUAGUGUGUGCAAGUAUUCACAAUACCUGGACUUCUAGAGUCAACCAAUUUCCUGUGUGGAAAUACCACUCUGGUUCGUUGCGAGUCUGUCUCUUUUUCUGGCCGUGUUUUUUGCUGCGGUUGCGCCGUUGUAAUUCGUGGGUCUUCUCGAGCAAAUCUUCGCUGCGUCCUCUUGAGUGAGGCACA